AUAACUGUGGAAACUCUGCACUUUCUCAAUAUGAAACUUGUAGGGACAAUAGUGAAGUAUGCCAUUUAUUCAUAGAAGGUCCUAGUUUCAGUUAUUAGUAGGUGAAGUUGGGAGAGUUUGAGGUGGGAAAAAAAGAAAAAAAUAUUCAUUGCCCCAGGCCAUGUGCAAGGGGGAAUUAUUGCUUAGAUAAUCACUGAAGGAAGGGCAUCUUUCACCCUAGUCACUGAGUAGGCAAAAAUUAGCAGCAGUUGCUGAAAAGGUGCCACUGGGGCCUCCACUGCAAGCAAUAUUCUGCAAAACAGACACUCCUCCCAUAAAAUAAAUAGGGGAGCAUGGUUGAAAGUGCCAACUACCUUGCUGCUGGAAGAGCUUAACAACUCAACCCAGGUUCAUGAGAAAGAAAAGAAAAAUCAAUGUAUAAACACAAAAGUGCUUCAUGAAACUCAAUGGACUAUCAUUUGUUGAGUCUUAUUUAAUCAAUGGAAUAUAUUAAUGCCUUACACUAUAAAUAUUUUAGACACACAAGUCCCUAUGCAGUUUUAUUCCCAUCCUGUCUGUAAGGAAGGUUUCCUGUAUUAGACGUAACCAUAUCAAAGCUGGUGAUGUCAGGUGGUCACCUUGUUUGCCUAUGUUGUAAUGUUGGCCUUUCAUAUUGAUUGUAUCUUAAAAUGUAAAAAAAAAAUCUGUGACAGAAUGAAUUGCUACUUGGUGAUAAUGUGCAAAAAUAUUUAAGAGCAAUAGUAUGCAUCACAAAGAUUUGUAUUUGUUUAUAUGGUUUGAUUUUAGGUACAUUAUGCUUGGAUAUGAUGCUGUAUUAUAAUGUAAAUUAAAAUAGUAACGCAUGAGUUUAUUUUUCAAAUGAUCAAGUAAAAAUUUAUUAUUUGAGAAGA